CCUCGAAUUAAAAACAAAAUCGUGAUCAUCUUUUUUUUUUAAAUUUUUUUUAAUUUUUAUUAAGUUGAAAGUAGCAUAUACAACUUUUCUAAUAAUGGAAAUAGAAAACGUGUUUGAGCACAAUAGAAACAUGUAGGUACAAUAGAUGGAACACUGUUAGUAUUGCAAUAUCUGUAUGACUUUUGUCAGGUUAUGGUACUGUCUAUAGAGACUAUUAACAGAAUCAUGGUGAGCUAGUGGCUGAUUGUAGCUCACCAGAGGGAGCCCCUCACAGUACUAAUCGCUGUGCAAUCCAUCCGUUAACUAUGGGAACAUGGAACUGUCAUUCUGGGGCAGCUGUGUCAGUCUCUUGACAUUGCUUCUUGAUGACUUGCUGUGUUUGCAUGUGUCAAUGCCCUCAAGUUCUUUAGGUCUCCUAAUAGGCGAUGAGGGUCCGGAUCGUGGCAGGACUGACAGGCCCACAUGUUUAUUUGUUUUUGUUUUUAAUUCUUUAUUUAUGUUGUGCAGGUAAGUACAUUGCGAAAUCAAGCGCCACAACAGCACACACGUUGUAUACAGGUUAAACAGUGGCAGGAGUAGAUGCACAAUUUUUGUUUUUAUGAUACAUAAACAAUCUUAUCUUGAGCCUUGCUGGCUAUAGACUAAUAAUAGGUAACACAUAAAGUUAACUUGGAUCGCAGGCAAUAUUUCAACAUCUUAUUUGCUAUGCUUCAGAGAAAAUUAGCAGCAUGUGAUAUAAAUGCACACAUUCAGAGAAAAAUAAAUGCUUAAACACUAGGUACAUAAGGUCGAUGAGUAGGUUUGUAGAUUAUUACACAGGAACGUGUUCAUUGUGAGAGUGAGGUGUGUACAUGGAUUAAUGCUUGUAGAGACUUUCGCUCAGGGUUUAGAAGCAUGUGAGUGUACAUGCGAUACUAUGUGUGGCAUGCCCUGUGUGGGUUCAGUUGUCAUUUAAGCAAACCAGUGAAAAUAAUAGUAGUACCCCCUCCCCAUGAUCUCCCCUUACUAAAGGUCAAUAGAUUCACUGUAGCCUAAAUUAAACAAGGGUUAUGUAAUUUGAAUUAGGAAAUAUGCAACUGGCACUUUGCCUGAUACAGAGUCUCAUCACCGGUUCUCGGUCAUCCAACACCCUGUAGGGGCUGAGUGUGCUCCCGUGCAGAUUGUUGCGUCCCGCUCGGUGCCUUGUAGGUGAGGUGGGGCAGAGUCCCAAGAUUGUGAGGUCG